rnacentral:misc_RNA from 1 species
UCGAGUGUUAAAACUCCCAAACCUUUGUGAACAUUACCUUUUGUUGCUUCGGCGGGAUCGCCCCGGGCGCCUUCGAGUGCCCCGGAGUCAGGCGCCCGCCGGGGGACCUAAACUCUUUUGUAUACCCCCUCGCGGGUUUUUAUAUCUGAGCCAUCUCGGCGCCUCUCGUAGGCGUUUCGAAAAUGAAUCA